GAAAUGCGAUAAGUAAUGUGAAUUGCAGAAUUCAGUGAAUCAUCGAAUCUUUGAACGCACAUUGCGCCCGCCAGAAUUCUGGCGGGCAUGCCUGUUCGAGCGUCAUUUCAACCCUCGAGCUCCCCUUUCGGGGGGAGCCCGUCGUUGGGGACCCGGCGCUAACAACGCCGGCCCCGAAAUGGAGUGGCGGCCCGUCCGCGGCGACCUCUGCGUAGUAACAACCACUCGCACCGGGACCCGGGCGCGGCCACGCCGUAAAACACCCCACCUUCCGAAUGUUGACCUCGAAUCAGGUAGGAAUACCCGCUGAACUUAAGC
rnacentral:misc_RNA from 1 species